AGCUGGGUCGUACUAUGGUGUGCUGUAUUAUGGGGCUGUGUCUAUGGGGCUGAAGCUCUAUCUAUGGGCUGAGCCUCUACCUAAUAUGGGGCUUAUCUCUCUAUGGGUCCUGCCCCACACUUGUAGGGUCUGUCGACAUCCUGGUGAGGCAUGGUGAGCUGACUGCCAAGUGUAGUGUUAUGGGCUGGGGUCUAUCUAUCUAUAGGGCUGUAUCUCUCUAUGGGGCUGAGCUGUAUCUAUGGGUCCUGCCCCACACUUGUAGGUCUGUCUGACAUCCCCGGUGAGGCCAUGGUGAAGCUGUAUUGCCCCAAGUGUUGUGUCUAUGGGGCUGGGGGCUCUAUCUAUCUAUGGGGCUGGGGGCUCUAUAUGGCUAUAACUAUCUAUGGGUCUUGCCACACUAUGUAGGUCUGGCUCUAGACAUCCGGUUGAGGCCAUGUGAGCUGUACUCAAGUGUUGUUUAUGGGGCUGGGGGCUCUAUCUAUUAUGGGGCU
rnacentral:lncRNA from 1 species